rnacentral:rRNA from 1 species
AGCCGGGAAUGGGAUCCCGGUGCAAGCGAGGUACCAGUCACAUUGGAGAAACCGUGUGGCAAUGGGAAGACGUGAUGCGGAGUGAAGUUUAGUAAUGAAGUCCGUGAGCUGUGCGUCAAGAAAAGCCGCUAUUGUUCAUACCAUACCCGUACCGUAAACCGACACAGGUGGAUGAGGAGAGAAUCCUAAGGCCGGCGGAAGAAGCAUUGUCAAGGAACUCGGCAAAAUGACCCCGUAACUUCGGGAGAAGGGGUGCCUGCGAGAGCAGGCCGCAGAGAAUAGGCUCAAGCAACUGUUUAGCAAAAACACAGGUCUAUGCGAAACCGAAAGGUGAGGUAUAUGGGCUGACGCCUGCCCGGUGCUGGAAGGUUAAGAGGAGAGGUUAGCGGUAACGCGAAGCUUUGAAUUUAAGCCCCAGUAAACGGCGGCCGUAACAAUAACGGUCCUAAGGUAGCGAAAUUCCUUGUCGGGUAAGUUCCGACCCGCACGAAAGGCGUAAUGAUUUGAGCGCUGUCUCGACAAUGCAUCCGGUGAAAUUGAAGUACCAGUGAAGAUGCUGGUUACCUGCGCCAGGACGGAAAGACCCCAUGGAGCUUUACUCCAGUUUGGUACUGGGAUCCGGUACUGCAUGUACAGGAUAGGUGGGAGGCUGAGAAUCGGUAACGCCAGUUGCCGAGGAGCCGCUGUUGGGAUACCACCCUUGCAGUAUUGGGUUUCUAAACAGCCGCCGUGACCCGGCGGUGGGACAAUGCCAGACGGGGAGUUUGACUGGGGCGGUCGCCUCCGAAAGGGUAUCGGAGGCGCCCAAAGGUUCCCUCAGGAUGGACGGAAACCAUCCAAAGAGUGCAAAGGCAGAAGGGAGCUUGACUGCGACACCGACGGGUGGAGCAGGUACGAAAGUAGGGCUUAGUGAUCCGGUGGUAUUAAGUGGGAAUGCCAUCGCUCAACGGAUAAAAGCUACCCUGGGAUAACAGGCUUAUCACUCCCAAGAGUUCACAUCGACGGAGUGGUUUGGCACCUCGAUGUCGGCUCAUCGCAUCCUGGGGCUGUAGUAGGUCCCAAGGGUUGGGCUGUUCGCCCAUUAAAGCGGUACGCGAGCUGGGUUCAGAACGUCGUGAGACAGUUCGGUCCCUAUCCGGCGUGGGCGUAGGAUAUCUGAGAGGAGCUGUCCUUAGUACGAGAGGACCGGGAUGGACGGGCCGCUGGUGCACCGGUUAGACUGCCAAGUCUAUAGCCGGGUAGCCAAGCCCGGAAGGGAUAAACGCUGAAGGCAUCUAAGCGUGAAGCCCCCCUCAAGAUGAGAUAUCCCAUCCGAAAGGAGUAAACCCCCUUGAAGACGACGAGGUCGAUAGGGCAGAGGUGGAAGUGUGGUAACACAUGGAGCUGACUGCUACUAAUAGGGUGAGGGCUUGAUC